UGUGCGUACAACCAUGGUAACAGUAGUUAGAACAUCGCUAAGAUGAAAUUCAACGUAUUGGCUACGGUUCUUUGUUUGAUGGCCGCGGUGGUAGUUGUUCACCCGAAAAUUUCUCAUAAUAAUUUAAUGGAACUGAGGCAGACUAGACCGCUAAUUUUCGUGCAACUUGAAUGUUUUGCCAAAAGCUUUGCCCAUGUGCCCGUAAAUUUUGUAUCGGACAUUUUAAACAGGAUACUCAAUAUACUAGGCAACGUAUCCGGAUGUCAAGGAGUACCUAGUACAAAUCUACUAAACAUUAUAGGCAACCUUUUCCGAUGUCUUUUAGGAGUGGUUUUCACGCCCAUACCUGCAAUAGGGGAUCUUUUGAAUAAUAUAUCGGGGAUAUUUAAAAAUGCCUCAAUUCCGGCCUAUAUCACAAAUUGUAUCGCCGAAGCGAACGUUACAGUCCCUACCCCGACAAGUUAAACCUAACUAUAAUUUAAGGAACACACCUUUUUGUUAGAAUUCAUUUUCUUUGUGUUAGAUGGUUUGUUGGUGGAUACAAAAUAUACAUAUUUUACAUGAAA